rnacentral:rRNA from 1 species
GCUGCAGUAUCUUGACUGUACAAAGGUAGCAUAAUCAUUAGUUUUUUAAUUGAAAGCUGGAAUGAAUGGUUUAAUAAGGAAAUAGCUGUCUCUUUUUAAUUAGAUUGAAUUUUAUUUUUGAGUUAAAAAGCUUAAAUUUAAUAGAAAGACGAGAAGACCCUAUAGAGUUUAAUAUAUUUAAAUUUUUAAGGGUUAAGAUUAUUGUUUAAUAGAGGUUUAUAUAUAUUUUGUUGGGGUGAUAGUAGAAUUUAAUAAACUUCUUUUUUUUUAAUCAUUGAUUAAUGAAUAGAUGAUCCUGAUGUUUGGAUUAAAAGAAUAAAUUACCUUAGGGAUAACAGCGUAAUUCUUUUGGAGAGUUCUUAUCGAUAAGAGAGAUUGCGACCUCGAUGUUGGAUUAAAGUUUAUUAUUGGUGUAGAUGCUAAUAAAUCAAGACUGUUC